rnacentral:rRNA from 1 species
AUGAACAUUCCUUUGAGCACUUCAGCUUCAGGUGAUUGGUGGGCUUGGCACUACGAGCGUUUUGGGUCUUUCUUGGUCCGAUCAACGUAUCGCAUGUUAGUUGAUACAAAGAGAAGAAGGGAGGACUGGCUAGAGCAACGAGAGAGUACGUCGGAUACUCGUGCAACUCAAAUUCAGUGGAAAAAACUCUGGAAGGCCAAGGUACCGGGAAAGGUCAAAUUUUUUGCAUGGAGGCUGGCAAAAAAUUCUGUUCCGACGGGCGAACUACUUAAACAUCGCCAUAUCUCUGAGACGGAAGCUUGCUUCCUGUGCAAUGCUGAAUCGGAUUCUUGGCGUCACGCACUAAUUGACUGUCAGUUGUCAAAGUGUGUUUGGGCAUUGAUUGAUAAUGAGCUGGUUGAGCACAUGAUCGCCUGUACAUUUCAUGACGCAAGGUUGUGGCUACCAACGAUGCAGAAUUCCUUAUCUGAGAAGGAAUUUGCAAAGAUCCUAGUUACCUUGUGGGCUAUUUGGUGGGCGAGACAAAAGGCGAAACAUGAGGAAAUAUUUCGAAGCCCACUGACCACUUUUGCUUUUAUUCAGAGGUUCCUUGCUGAGCUUGAUUCACUGUCUGGUAAGGGGAAGAAACAGCAAGGGAAAUCAGGCAACGUAGCUGCUAAACAUUGGCUGAAGAGUGAAGUGGGUGUAGCAAAAAUCAACGUGGACGCGGCACUGUCCAGAAACAAUGACAGAGGAGCAAGUGCGGCUUUAUGCCGCGAUGACCAGGGAAACUAUUUGGGUGCUUCUGUUAGUGUUUGA